AACCAGCGCCAUAAUCGCCACGAAGGACUCCAUCAGCAUUGCGCCGUAGCCGAUGAAACGCGCGUCGGUUUCAUUAGCCAGCAGUUUUGGCGUCGUACCGGAAGAGAUCAGCGCGUGGAAGCCAGAUACCGCACCACAGGCGAUGGUGAUGAACAGGAACGGGAACAGAGCGCCUUUCCACAGCGGGCCAGUACCGUCAAUGUACUGGGUCAUGGCAGGCAUUUUCAGUUCCGGGUUCAGCACCACGAUACCCAGCGCCAGGCCGACGAUAACGCCGAUUUUCAGGAAGGUUGCCAGAUAGUCGCGCGGUGCGAGGAUCAGCCACACUGGCAGCAGUGCGGAAACAAAC
rnacentral:misc_RNA from 1 species